rnacentral:rRNA from 1 species
UACGAAGGGGGCUAGCGUUGCUCGGAAUCACUGGGCGUAAAGCGCACGUAGGCGGCUUUUUAAGUCAGGGGUGAAAUCCCGGAGCUCAACUCCGGAACUGCCUUUGAUACUGGGAAGCUUGAGUCCGGAAGAGGUGAGUGGAACUCCGAGUGUAGAGGUGAAAUUCGUAGAUAUUCGGAAGAACACCAGUGGCGAAGGCGGCUCACUGGGCCGGUACUGACGCUGAGGUGCGAAAGCGUGGGGAGCAAACAGG